GACGAACGCUGGCGGCGUGCUUAACACAUGCAAGUCGAACGGAAAGGCCCUUCGGGGUACUCGAGUGGCGAACGGGUGAGUAACACGUGGGUGAUCUGCCCUGCACUUUGGGAUAAGCCUGGGAAACUGGGUCUAAUACCGAAUAGGACCACGCGCUUCAUUGUGUGUGGUGGAAAGCUUUUGCGGUGUGGGAUGGGCCCGCGGCCUAUCAGCUUGUUGGUGGGGUAAUGGCCUACCAAGGCGACGACGGGUAGCCGGCCUGAGAGGGUGACCGGCCACACUGGGACUGAGAUACGGCCCAGACUCCUACGGGAGGCAGCAGUGGGGAAUAUUGCACAAUGGGCGCAAGCCUGAUGCAGCGACGCCGCGUGAGGGAUGACGGCCUUCGGGUUGUAAACCUCUUUCAAUAGGGACGAAGCGCAAGUGACGGUACCUAUAGAAGAAGCACCGGCUAACUACGUG
rnacentral:rRNA from 1 species